rnacentral:rRNA from 1 species
GGAUUAGAUACCCUGGUAGUCCACGCCCUAAACGAUGUGUGCUAGGUGUUGGGGGACUUGUCCCUUGGUGCCGGAGCUAACGUGUUAAGCACACCGCCUGGGGAGUACGGCCGCAAGGUUAAAACUCAAAGAAAUUGACGGGGGCCCGCACAAGCGGUGGAGCAUGUGGUUUAAUUCGACGCAACGCGCAGAACCUUACCAGCCCUUGACAUGCUAGUUGCGGAAACGGGAGACUGUUUCUUUCCUUCGGGAGACUAGUACAGGUGCUGCAUGGCUGUCGUCAGCUCGUGCUG